ensembl:lncRNA
AGGGACGAGACUGGACGGGGCACAAUGUUGCGCAUUUAACAUUUGAACUUCUCCCACCCGAGGCAGCAGGCCGUUUUGUCCUGGGGUCGCUGACCCCGGCUCCCCAUCAGCUGCCCUGAAACCUUAAUUGAAUGACAGAUGGUCAUUUUCAGGAGAGCCAGAAGCUGCGGGCGGCGGGCGGCAUGGCCAGGCUCGGCCAGGCGGUCCCCACUGGAGUGGGGUCGGGGCACGGGGUCGGGGCUGCGCGCUCCCGGGGGAGCGGAGUCCUGGUCCCCUAGCUGCCUCGGGGUCCAGAGCUCCAGGCAGCCUGGAGGUGGCCCCGCCUGCCCUAGAAGGAGGCGCAGGGGCCCCCAUCGCUCCUUUUCUGGGCCGGAGUCCAGCCUCCCCGGCCCUAGGCCCGGAUGCCAGCCCCGGGGCCCGGUGCGCUUGGCACGCCCGGCCUGCGGCCGCUGCUGCGCGGGGCCUGCGGCCCAGAGGUGGGCGCCCAGAGGCCCAGCCGCACUGCCUCCGCGCCGGCUCCUAUUUCUUUAAAAUCAAAGCUUCGGGCCUACAAUUGCUGGGAUUGCAGCGCGGUAUUGAUCCGCAGCCGGCAUCAGGGCCCGCGGCCUCGCUGCCCAGCCCCCGCGGCCGGCCUGCGAAGCCCAGAGGCUGGGUUUCGGCACCGUGCACGCCGCCGCUGGUACCCGGCCACCCCUCCGGCCAGCGCGCGUGGGCUCCAGGCCCAGCCGACUAGGCCCCAUCUUCACUGGUUUUUUUCCUUCCUUCUUUUUUAAUUAGUGCAGGAAAAUAUACAUGGAAGCAAAAAAAAAAAAUCCGCCUCCCCCGCAGGCGCGGCCUUCUAAUGCACAGGGCCUGACAUCGACUUCCGCGCACGGAUCGAACCUUCGAUCGCGCCGAUUUGCAUAGCGGGCCCGCGCCCCGCCGCGCCCGACUCCACGCCGAGACCGCGCAGGCGAGGCCGGGCGCUCCCGGGCUCUGCCUUCCUCCCUCGGUGCCCGGGGGACCGGGCUGCUCACGGCCGCAGACGUGUGCGCGGGCGAGCGCGGAACGCGGCGGGAGACGAUCUCCGCCGGCACCGCGAAAGGAGCCGAGGGCGCCCAGGGCCCCGCCGCGGACCGCGCGGAGGACAGGCGCAUCCUGGACGCGACGCGCCCUCGGGAUAAGUAAGAAAAUUAGGAAUUCGAUAGUUGGAAAGCAGACUGGGGAGGAAAAUUAAAUCCAACACCGACUGGAAAUAUGCUGGACAGAUGAAACGACAGUGACAGAAGACAGGAGAGUAAUUUACCUGAAAAAAAGAAAGAGAUUAGGCUCUGAAUUUUCCAGAUUGUAAUGACAAUACGAAAUAAAUCCAAAGAAAUUGCUUCCCUGACACUCUAUGUACAACCAAAGCAGAAGCCCUGCCACAGCAAAUUAUUGCUCAUUUGAUACCAAGAAUUCUAUUGACCACGGCUUUCGUUGGAGAGCGAAUUCUAACUACUGGCUGCUCUGUUGUCAGCUAGAGCUGAGGCUGGGAACCUUCCACAAGGCUGUGACGGCACACAGAGUCCUCUGCUCCAGGAAGUGCAGAGAUAACGCUGGUGUGUGUUGUCUGCCUGCACCCAAAGCGAUGGUGUUCCUGGAAUGCAAGCACCGCCCGCCAUGCUUGGAGCAUCCUGCCGCAGAGAGAACACUUUCUCCUGGUCUCAGCCCAGACUGACAGCCUGGGGGCCUCGUAGGACACUCGGCCAGAUGACACACACACAAGGGCACCCAGAACCUGUGUCGUGGGCUCCCGGGCAGCUGUGGAUCCAGGAGGCAGGCUGAGCAAGCCAGCAACACUCGCUGCCACUUGUCCAGAAAGCAAGAAAGCGGCAAUAUCCUCAGUGUUAUUUAAGGGAAAAAGACUGGGACCUGCACUGGAGUUUAAAAGUUAGGGGCGGGCUGCUCCCCAGCAUUUCUUUGGAAGGAGGCAGAACUGAGAGCUAUGCAGCUGGCUUGGCGCUUCAGCCCAUAGGAGAGGAGGAAAUUCUCCUCCUCCUCGCUGCACCUUGGAGCAGGUCCUCUGGCAGAGCUCUCGGCUCCCCAGCACCCCGUCAGCCUCCUGCCUCUCCUGCCAGGCCAAUGGAACCAGCAGAACUCGAUAGUAAAUUAUUUUGUUCAGCCCUCUGUCUUUUUAUGAAAAUAAAAGCCAACACUUUGUCAUUUUUAAUCACGUAAGCAGACAAUAAAUCCAAUUUCGAUAUUGAUUUUUUUUUCCAG